rnacentral:misc_RNA from 1 species
GCUUCAAUGAAGGAGUACAUUGCUCGUUUUGGACAUGGAUCUGCCAAACUAGCCCGUCAAGCACAAAGUAAAGAGAAAACACUGGCUAAGAUGGAGCGUGGAGGGCUUACAGAGAAGGUGGCAAAGGACAAGGUCCUGGUCUUCCGUUUUCCUAAUGUUGGCAAACUUCCCCCUCCUGUUCUGCAGUUUGUGGAAGUGACAUUUGGCUACACACCCGAGAAUCUCAUCUACAAGAACCUAGAUUUUGGUGUAGACCUUGAUUCAAGGGUAGCACUGGUGGGACCUAAUGGAGCUGGAAAGAGCACGCUACUUAAGCUGAUGACAGGGGAGUUGGUUCCCCUUGAUGGCAUGGUUAGGCGGCAUAAUCACCUGCGGAUUGCACAGUUCCACCAGCACUUGGCUGAGAAGCUUGACAUGGAAUUAUCUGCUCUUCAGUUCAUGAUAAAAGAGUAUCCUGGGAAUGAGGAGGAGAAGAUGAGGGCAUCAAUUGGGAGGUUUGGCCUUACUGGUAAAGCUCAAGUAAUGCCUAUGAAAAACUUGUCAGAUGGUCAACGUAGCCGGAUUAUAUUUGCGUGGUUAGCUUUUAGACAACCUCACAUGCUGCUUCUCGAUGAGCCAACCAACCAUCUCGAUAUUGAGACAAUUGACUCACUUGCCGAGGCUUUGAAUGAAUGGGAUGGUGGAAUGGUUCUUGUUAGUCAUGAUUUCAGGCUCAUAAACCAGGUCGCCCAUGAGAUAUGGGUAUGUGAA